AUACGGAGGGUGCGAGCGUUGUCCGGAAUCACUGGGCGUAAAGGGCGCGUAGGCGGCCUGAUAAGUAGGGGGUGAAAUCCUGCGGCUUAACCGCAGGGCUGCCUUCUAAACUGUCAGGCUGGAGCACAGUAGAGGCAGGUGGAAUUCCCGGUGUAGCGGUGGAAUGCGUAGAGAUCGGGAAGAGCAUCAGUGGCGAAGGCGGCCUGCUGGGCUGUUGCUGACGCUGAGGCGCGAAAGCUAGGGGAGCGAACGGGA
rnacentral:rRNA from 1 species